UAAAACUUACACUGGCUCAAUUACUGAAUUUAGCAUUGAUUGUGCUCGUUCUUUCUCUCUGCUUAUAUAUGCGUUGCCCUAGCUUUGCCUUACUUAUCUCUUCAGUUCCAUUUGAAAAUAUAGCUUCCAAUGACUUUGUUUGAUAAGUUGAAUCACUUCCAUGUAGGUAACAUUAUAAGCAUCAUUAUUUUAUGUUACAAAUAAUAAAAAUUGUUGUUCAUGUAAUUAAAUAAAAUAAAAAAAUUAUAUUAUCUAUGUGCAAUCCUUAUGCAUUGAUUUGAAAAAACUUACAUAGGUUCAAUUACUGAAUUUAGAAUCGAUUGCACUCGUUCCCUUUCUCUUCUCAAACGGUGUCCUUGUUUUGCCUUACUUAUCUCUUCACUGUUGGUUGAAGAAGUUUUCACACUUUCGACAGGUAUUUUUUUCUUUGUCAUGAUUGUGUUCCAGGUACUACAUAAACAAAACAUAAUGAACAAUUAUUCACAAUUUAAUAACAACAAUAUUAUGGUAUGUAUAAUAUGCAAUUUCUUAUAUGAAGAUGGUACAUAAGCAAACUAAUGUCAAUGGAAAACUUACUGGCAAAUAAAUGGUUAUUAAUGAAUUACUCCCUUGGAAGAUCUCUUUGGCUCAUAAUAUUUUACACAUUCGACUUUUACUCAAUUCGUUGAAAAUGUAAUAAACAUCAGACCUAUUAUCUAACCAUAGCAUGUUUAAUUUUCCAAUAAUUAAAUUGCAGUAUGUGUCAAUAAUAACUAUAUGUAACCAAAAUUUUGUUGGUUAGCCUUCCUGGUUACACCAUUAAAUCAUUCAUCUAAUAUUUCUUUCUCAAGAUGCAACUUAUGCAAUGUGUGGGGAGGGGGAGGGGCUCUCGACAGGCGUCAGACAUCAGGUCACUCUUUUUAGGGAGAGUUUUGCCAUAUUAAAUAGUGUAUGUUAUGAACUUAAUUUAAGGUCUGUCAAGAGUGCAUAAGCUAAAGUCUGAAAAUAUAUGUAGAUUGAACUCUAGAACAUAAGAUAAAUUUAUUACUUCGAUCUUUAUGAUUAAUAACGGGAACAAACAAAGAGCACAUACCUAUUGAGGGAGAGGAAUGAUAAUAAUGAAAUAUCCUCUUUGAUAAUGUUAAAGACCCUUGGAAAAAAUAAACAUAUCAACAUGUUUGACUAUAUUAGCUAGAUUGCUACCACGACACAAACCUUCAUCUUACUCUUCAUUCGUAGAUAAGAUUAGAUUGCAUAAGCUAUGUUAGUGGGUUGGUUCUACAUUUGUUUGGUGUUAUUUUAAGUAUUAACAAAAGAUAAAAAAUUAAUAUUGUGAAGAACCAAAGAAAGAGAGGAAUCAGUUAGUACCAUAUCUUAAGCCCAACCGAUGAUUUAAACUUAAACCCACGUUAACUUAUAAUAACUUAUAUAAAACCAAAAACACUGUGAUCGAGGAAAACCAAGGGUUCAGAUCAGAUUUCAGACUCCAACUUGAAAUCUAGUCAGUCCAGAAAUAAAUUUUAUAUAAGUUUGUCUCCCUUAGUUGAGAUUGCCUUGUCCCUUAGAAAAAGGCAUUCAACAUAAUUGCCUCAUUAAUCUGAUGUAUAUGUAAGCAAUCACUUAAAGAAUAAUAUACUGACUGAUUUUAAAUUAGAGACUCACCCUACAAACAUCACACAAUAAAAAAAUAAAUUUUUGAAUGGGUGGUAUCUGAAAUUAAUAUCACUGUUGUUCUUUUAAUGGGAGGUAUUAUUCAUACCAAUUAAUUUUUUUUUAAUCACGUCAUAAACAAAGAGUAUUCAUAAUUCCGAUUCCAUAAGAAGUAAUAAGAUUCAUUACUUUGAUUUCAUUAGAAAAUUAAGAGAAUGAGUAAGUGGUAAAAGGAGAAGGAAUAGAGAGAUUACCAGUGAAGAGGAGAGUUGUUAGAGCAAUCACCAGUAGCCAAAUUGAACAGAGAAGAAAACCUGAAGAAGACAAUUUAAUAUUAUAUGUAAGCAGCCACAUGCCUAUGUAAGAUUUUCUGUAUGAUAGUAAGAAAGUGGUAUAAAGAGAAGAAAAUAAAGAGAAUAAGGAAAAAGGAUUACGUUUAAGAGACAGGUUUUGAGAUCACAAUAUCAAGUAAGCUUUGGGUUAUAUACCUGAUUCGUUUCCCACCCAAGAGUUUCAAUAUUAGGAGAGUUCCUCAAUAGUUCCACCAACAGCUGAACAUUAGAAAAGUGCUCGCAAUUCCAAUUUGUAAGCUUUAAAUACUUCAGAUUGUAGUAU
rnacentral:lncRNA from 1 species